CUGGGCGGGGUGUCAGCAGGCAUCUGCCACAGGAGGGGCAGUGGGUGGGAGCAGUGCAAAGACUGGAGAUACACCCUCGGGGGUGUAGGGUUUGGGGAGAAGAAAGGUCUGGAGUGGCAGUGAGGAGCAGAGGGUGGCUACCCCAUCUCCAGCCUAGUGGCCUAAGGGUGUGAGGAAGAAAAUGGCCAUCACUCAGAAGGGCUACAGGACAAGUGGUGUCCUCAGGUUUUCGUCAGAGCACGGGGGAAGGAAAUGAUCAUGGAAGAGGCCGAGGAUAGCAGAGAUUUUGCCUAGGGCUGGGUUUGUCAUCUGGCAGGGGCAAUAGGGGAUUCCAGAAACGGAGUUGGCAGACAUGGGUCAGUAAAGAGGAUGAUGUGCAGAUGCCUCAGAGCCCAGAGCUUCCUGCAGUGGCUCAUGUAGCAGGGGUAGGGGACCAACCAGAAGGUCACCAGAGCAUGAGCAGCUGGCGGAGGGAGGGUAGGGUGUCUUGCCAGAGCAUGCCAAGUUCUGGGGUUCCCUUUUGGCUCCAGCUAACGGAAGUGCCAAGGCUGAGGGAAUAAGGCUGCCUUCGGUGUUUGGAGCUCCCUCCUAACUCCUGCUGUUAGGGGCAUGGAGGGAGGCCACAGCAAGGCACAGCAAGAAUGCAGGCUCGCUUGGGGAAAAGCAGCUUGCUGGAAGGUCGUCCUAGGCUCCGAGGCCUCCCUGGACAGUAGCAGUGGGAGUUCACGUCUCUUAUGUUCAGUUUCUGCUGCUAAGACUUGGUAACCAACAUUCAGAUUCUCUUGCUCUCAGCUCAGAUUUGGGAUUUGGACUUGCUCAAUCGACAGAAUCAGGUGAUACCAAUGUGUCUUCUGGGAGCCACCUCUCUGGAUUGUGGGGAGAAGAUGGGGAGUUUAGAGUCAUCUCUUCACGGGUUUGGGUAUCCAGAUAGAAAAUAACAUCAGCUGCUGGGACAUUAUAUUUUGGCAGUUUUAGCAGGGAUUGUGAAAGCCCCAUGGCAACAAAGUUCUGGACGGAGAGUUAAAUAGAGCCUGUGGAUCUUUGAUAGGAGCGUCUGGCGGGCGCGCGAGCACACAGACGUUUCCAGGGGGCGCUCUGAGGGCCCCGCGCCCUCGCCGCCGCCGCAGGUGAAGGCGGCUGCGCCCGGCGCGUCCCCUACCUGCGCUUGCGAACGGCGCCCACGCACGUCCACGACCCAGGGCACCACCCACCUGGGCUGCGAGAGCGCGGCUGCGAUCAGAGUGUUUAGAGACGAGGAGCUACUGGCUGAUUACUGCAGGCACAACAUCUUUGGAAACUGAUUCCCAGGAGGAAGGAGUGAGACACCCGAGCUGAGUCAGCCUCAGUUACUCUUUUGCUUUUCACCAAUCAUGAGAUACUUUGGGGAAGAGUAACUCCCAGAAGGAGGAAUGAGACCCAAGGUGGAGAAAGGCCAAGAGUAUUUCUCAUCUUGAAAACUAUCCUAAGCCUGUUGUCAUUCUGUAUUCUUAGCCUAGCCUGACCAGCUUUCAUAUCAAAAUGUAAAACAGUGGCCAAAAAAGAGUCUGUGAUUUUCAGUGCUUCAGUUCUCAGAUCAUUUCAUUGAGUAGAAUCCUUCUGCUUCCACCCUUCUUUAGAUGUCAAAUGUUACAUGUCAACCAGUCGGCAUCUUGAACCUUCACUGUUGGCUUGUAUUUUCCUCUUAUUUCAUGACAACUGUAAUUUAAGAUAAACAUUUAUUGAGCAUCUAAUAUUGAUAGCUAUGGGCUAGAAAUGGUGGAAUAUACAAAUAUGAUUAAAACAUUCUUCCUGCCCUCAAGGGACUUCAUUGUCUAGUAGAAAAUAAAUAUAAGGUUGUGCUAUAACCUUUAAUGUGCUUCUGAAAACAUUAUCAUACAACACCUGUGAAGUAGGGAAGGCAGAUGAUGAUCUGACAUGAAGAAUGAUGAAACAGAAACUCAGAGCUGUUAAGUUCAGGUUUGCACAGCUAAUAAGUGAUAGACUAGAACUAGAACUGG